GGCCGCCUGGCGAAAUGGUAUCGCGUCUGACUACGAUCGUGUAUCAAUCAGGAGAUUGCAGGUUCGAGCCCUGCGGUGGUCA